rnacentral:misc_RNA from 1 species
GUCUGAGGUACACGAAUCACAUUUGAGGCUCAAAGCUAUGGGUAAGCUUGCACGACAAAGUAAAGCCCUAUAACUAUCCGAAAUAGCUAGAGUAAAUGUGGCAGAUAGAUGAGGUGAAAGUGCGUGUU